AUACGGAGGAUGCAAGCGUUAUCCGGAUUUAUUGGGUUUAAAGGGUGCGUAGGCGGUUUGCUAAGCGGGAGGUGAAAUGCCGGCGCUCAACGUCGGAAGUGCCUCCCGAACUGGUGGACUUGAAUGACUCUGCCGUGGGAGGAAUGUGUAGUGUAGCGGUGAAAUGCUUAGAGAUUACACAAAACACCGAUUGCGAAGGCAUCUCACGAAGGGUUGAUUGACGCUGAGGCACGAAAGCGUGGGGAUCAAACAGGAUUAGAUACCCUGGUAGUCCACGCAGUAAACGAUGAUGGCUAACCGCUGGGCUUAUCAGUUCAGUGGCCAAGCGAAAGCGAUAAGCCAUCCACCUGGGGAGUACGACCGCAAGGUUGAAACUCAAAUGAAUUGACGGGG
rnacentral:rRNA from 1 species